GACGAACGCUGGCGGCGUGCUUAAUACAUGCAAGUAGAACGCACAGUUUAUACCGCUGCUUGCUACCACAUUGACUGUGAGAUGCGAACGGAUGAGUAACGCGUACGUCACCUGCCUGGUAGCGGGGGAUAACUAAUGGCUACUAUUGCUACUAACGCACAAUAUUAAUUAUCGCAUGUAAAUUAAUUGAAAGGUGCAAUUGCACCACUACCAGAUGGACCUGCGUUGUAUUAGCUAGUAGGUGAGGUAACGGCUCACCUAGGCGACGAUACAUAGCCGACCUGAGAGGGUGAUCGGCCACACUGGGACUGAGACACGGCCCAGACUCCUACGGGAGGCAGCAGUAGGGAAUCUUCGGCAAUGGACGAAAGUCUGACCGAGCAACGCCGCGUGAGUGAUGAAGGUUUUCGGGUCGUAAAGCUCUGUUAUAAGAGAAGAACGGGUGUGUGGGUAGAAAGGUCACACUUUGACGGUAUCGUACUAGAAAGGGACGGCUAACUACGUG
rnacentral:rRNA from 1 species